AGUGAACGCUGGCGGUAGGCCUAACACAUGCAAGUCGAACGGCAGCACAGUAAGAGCUUGCUCUUACGGGUGGCGAGUGGCGGACGGGUGAGGAAUACAUCGGAAUCUACUUUUACGGGGGGGAUAACGUAGGGAAACUUACGCUAAUACCGCAUACGACCUACGGGUGAAAGCAGGGGAGCUUCGGACCUUGCGCGAGUGAAUGAGCCGAUGUCGGAUUAGCUAGUUGGCGGGGUAAAGGCCCACCAAGGCGACGAUCCGUAGCUGGUCUGAGAGGAUGAUCAGCCACACUGGAACUGAGACACGGUCCAGACUCCUACGGGAGGCAGCAGUGCGGAAUAUUGGACAAUGGGCGCAAGCCUGAUCCAGCCAUACCGCGUGGGUGAAGAAGGCCUUCGGGUUGUAAAGCCCUUUUGUUGGGAAAGAAAAGCAGCAGGUUAAUACCCCGCUGUUCUGACGGUACCCAAAGAAUAAGCACCGGCUAACUUCGUG
rnacentral:rRNA from 1 species